AGCAGCCGCGGUAAUUCCAGCUCCAAUAGCGUAUAUUAAAGUUGCUGCAGUUAAAAAGCUCGUAGUUGAAUUUCGGGAUCAAUAUGUUGGUCGUGCCUUGGUACGUACUAGCUUAUUGAUUUCUCCCUCCUGAUGAACCAUGAUGUCAUUAAUUUGGUGUCAUGGGGAAUUAGGACUGUUACUUUGAAAAAAUUGAGUGUUUAAAGCAGGCUCACGCUUGAAUACAUUAGCAUGGAAUAAUGAAAUAGGACGUUUGAUUCUAUUUUGUUGGUUUCUAGGAUCGACGUAAUGAUUAAUAGGGAUAGUUGGGGGCAUUAGUAUUCAAUUGUCA
rnacentral:rRNA from 1 species